UGAAAAGUCGCUAAAUAUAGCGACAAAGUCGCUAAGUUGGCAACACUGCCUCAACCUGAUUAGUGGAACAACAUCACGUGACACAAUGACGCCGACGUUCGAUUCUACAAUUCCCGGAGUCGAUUCUAAUUGUGACUCAUUUCAGAUGUUGCAUCCAAUUACCUGAUUGCAUCAUGUUUCCUCUCCACCAAUGCUGAUCCCUGCUCUGAUUGAGGAGAACGAAGCUAACCCACGCCCCCUCCAACACGUGGGCAGCAUGCCGUAUGAAUCUUAUCACCUACACUUUGACGAGUGCAGUGCAGCUUAGCGUUGUGUACGCAGAGACACACCCCAAGAGCACUCUUUUCUCAUCUCUGUGCAGGCGCCACCAAUCAGCCAGCAGAGGUCGUAAUUGCACCAGUCAUAAGAGAGAGAGACCCUAUUCGGCUUAGUCCCGCCCAUCAGAACAACAGGCCGCUCAGCCUUAGCCGAGUCUUGUUCAUAUUUCUAAGUACAAGGUUAAAAGAUGCCGUGUGUAAAUGUCUUUUAAACAAUAAAAAUGUGACAUGGGAA